rnacentral:lncRNA from 1 species
UGUUAUUAUGGUUUCGUGCCGUAAAUUGAAAGAUGUGACAUUCCUCGUUUUUGCUCCAAACCUCAAGUCUCUUUUGGUAGACGGUUGCGAUGCUAUGGAAGAAAUAAUCAGCGUCGGAAAAUUUGCUGAGACUCCUGAGAUGAUGGGACAUAUAAGCCCUUUUGAAAAUCUCCAAAUGCUUGAUUUAACGGCAUUGCCGGAGUUGAAGAGCAUCUACUGGAAGCCAUUGCCUUUCACUCAUCUGAAAGAAAUGGAGGUACUUAGGUGCGAUCGGCUUGAAAAGCUUCCACUCGAUUCCAACAGUUCAAAGGAGCGUAAAUUUGUUAUUUGUGGAUACACAAAGUGGUGGAACCGACUUCAAUGGGAGGAUGAAGCCACUCAAAUUGCUUUUCGUUCCUGUUUCCAACCAAUGGGAGUACUGAGCGGUGGUCGCAAAAUUUGAUUUCUGGUGAGUGCGUUUUUGUUAACGCUUAUGUUUUUAUUCCAGUGUGUUUUUCUUCUGUCUUCUGCAAAUCAAUGCUUUAUAAAUUUUCCUUUUCCCUUUUUUUUUGGGGGGGGGGGGGGGGGCGUGGGUCGAAUUGAUGCUCUGGUUUUUUACUUUUUGUUGUCAAAUUUGGCCUUUUUUUUUUUUUUUUUUUUUUACAAGUUGAUACUUUAUUUAUAUCUUCUUAGCGAUUUAAUUUCCUGUCAAAAGACGAGCGAGAAGAACAUAUGACUUAAAGCAAUUGAUACUUUAUUUAUGUGCAUUGUAUGUAAUAAAUAUUAAGUAUACUUUAUUUUGCCCUGUUCUCUGUUUUUAUUUCAGUCUCUCUCUCGCUCUCUCUCUUUCCUGUCUUCUGCAAGUCAUAAUUAAAUGUUGAAUUAUAUGGAAUUAAUGCUUUAUAAAUCUGCCUGCGCUGGCUUUUUUUUUUUUUUUUGUGGGGUCGAAUUGAUGCUCUGGUUUUCGACUACUUUUUGUUGUCAAAAUUUUCUCUGUUUUUUCAAAUUUAUAUCUUAUUCGUGAAAAGUGAUUUAAUUUCCUGCCAAAAGACGAACGAGAAGAACAUUAGAGUCAAACUAAUGCUCACAUAAAUUUCCCGUAAGAAUAUAUAAUUAGACUGGAAUGCACACCUCUAGAUUGAACAGAAUUAAAGCUGAGAAAAUAUUGAGUAUAGUAGCCCUCUUUACAGAAAAUGACGCGAAAGUUAAUUUAGAAAGAUAUAUUCUCGAUUAAUCCAUUUUCUGAAUUUUUUUUUUAUUUUGUAUGGUCAAUUUUUUUUUUAAAUUACAACCUCAUAGUCAUGCUAUUCAUUCACUCACAGACCAAAGGCUUUCCGCAGCAAUAUUAUUAUUUAAAUUACAACAAAGGGGGAAUCAAAUACGUCAUACAGAAGCUUAAAGCUGAAUCUACAAGAUCUAGAGCUCUCAAGAUGAAGCUUGUUCAAUAUCUCAUCCAAAGCUUGUAAAGUAACCUUGUAACGAUCUUGAGAUUGCCUGCCUUCCUCGACGACCUGCACGAUGCGUUUGUACAAAUCAUCAUACUUGUGCACUGGAUUUUUAAUAUCAACGCCACUGCAGCUGUGAUCAAGAACAUGAGAGCGUUUAACAUCUUUUCUCCAUCAAGAAAGAACGUAGUGAGAUGGGAUCUCCUGCAUGCCACUCUGGUUUAGAACACAAAGAAUGUGUCUGCAUAAAUAUCCUCUGAAAUUGAACAACCCACAAACACAAAGCAUCUCCAAGUCAGAGGCAUUGUACAAAACAUCGAAAGCCCUUGAAUCUUUCUCGUUGCUACCAACCUCAAAUUCUUCCUUCACUAUGUAUGUUAUAGGUCCAUCAGCACUGACAUGUUUUGUGCUAUAGCAAAGAGUACAUAGCCUCCACCUCCAUCUGAAACUUCCUUAACAUUUCAUUUGUGUACAGUUUUGAGAGUUGAAAUUCAUAGUAACAUAUUGGUUUCUGGAUACAACUUGAAUUUCUUGAAUCCAUAUCUGCCAAGGCUUGCAGUUGAUAAUUGGCCCGCAGUGCUUGAUCAUACUUGUCUAAGAAUUCUUUCAAAGGAGUAUUCUUAUCAAGAUAUCCUUCAAAGUAUGAAGUAGAAACCUCAUUCUGCAGUAACGAAAACACUCCUGAUAAAAAAGCUUCCUUCAAAUAAAUAGGAGCCCACCUUUUACGAUCUUCAUAUAAAGUUUGAAUCCAUCCGUGAUCCUUUAUUCCAUGACGUUGAAUCAUGUCUUCCCAAGCUGCUUCAAAUUUCUCAGGCCUGAGAGAGUGAUAAAUUGCUCUAUGUAAUGCAGCUUUAAUAGCUUCAUAUUCAAACAAUCCUUGGAGUUUCUCUGGAAUUUUUUGCAUGACGCUUUCCUUCAAUGAUAAGACAAUGAACAUAAACGAGACACAAAAAAAAUUAUUUUAAACUGACAGCCCAUGAUAUAAAUCAAACAAAAUCAACUCCUUUUUUUACACAUCACAUCUCAUAUUCAUUUGCAUUGAAGCACAAAAAGGAAGCAGGAGUGGGAAAAAAAAAACAACAGCAGAGGAACUUAUUUCCAUAAGGUUUAGGAAAUAAGGAAUUUAUUAAGACACAAAAUUUGAGGUUACCAAUAAGAAUUUGGUUCUCAUUAUUUUUUUCUUCAUUUUUCACCAAUUGAUGAACUUAAAAUACAAUCAUCAAUGAUAAAACCCCAUCUCCAUCUUUUUGAACUAGAGCUAAAGCAAAGCAUUUUAAGAUGUUUCAUCAUUUUUUUUAAUAAAAAAAAACCUCAAUAGUACAAUGUUUUUCAAUGUUAAAUGCACAACUCAAUCCUCUCCUAAUUUACUCUAAUAAUCUCUUAAUUAAGGAAGAUUAAGCUUCAGUUGUAAGCUAAAACAAAUUUCUUAAAUCAAGCCCCAAUGCUUUAUGCUAUUCAACAAGGGCUCAUAAAUGAUAAAACUACUUCUACAAAGAUACCCAUUUUCUAAAUUAAUUUCAAAAACUGAAAUCAAACUCCUGAAACGUAACGAGCAUUAAUAUAAUCAAACCCGAACAGGAAUUGAAAAAUGACACAUAAACUCGUUUACACAUUUCGACAGACACUUUGCAAUCAAUGAGCAAAAAAUUAAUGGAGAAGAUAAAAUUCAAACGAAACAUGCCUUACAUUGAUAAAUUAGAAGGGCAAAAGAAAUUUUAGUACGAUAUGGGAUCAGGGUCUUGCCACGGUGAUGUUAUUUGUGAUGUUCGAGCGACUCAGCAGCCUUCGAGGUUGAAAAUUUGAUUGACCGAAAGCUUCCCGUUCGUUGAUUCUCUAAUAGCAGAAACGAGACUGGCAGUAUACACAAGAAGUUCGCUGAUUUUAAAUUCCGUUGUUUGAGAUGGAAAUUUUUUUGAAAAAAUUAAUGUGUUCGAUGAAUAUCAAAAUCUCAAAAACUUUUUGUUUCUCAUAGCACCCAUGCAUGAUGUGUUGUUUCUCUAAAAGUUUGAGACACAAAUGUUAUUUCAAAUUGAAACGCCAUGCACUAGUAGUAGACUAGUAGGUAGGAGAAACCAAGGUUGAAGUUACUGUUCAUUUAUUUUUAUUUAUGAUUUUUUGUAAAAUGUAAGAAAUAUGUAGAAAUGUUGCCAGCAAUGAUUUUGGAACUUUGCAUAAAAUUUUUAUCAUUAUUGUUUUUGGUAUUAAGAAAUCCGAGGCGGUGAUUAGACGUAUGUUGCAACAAUUAAGAAAUUUCUUAUUGGAGAUAAUUUGGUAGGUUGCAACAAUUAGAGAAUCAUUUUCCUGUCAGUUAAUCAAUCAAUAAUAAAUUUCAAAUUGCAGAAAAUAAAAUAAUACUGUCACACUUAGAAUCAUCUUUUCUAUCUCUUUCAAUUGUGGCAAUCAUUUGUAACAAAUAAAUCAAUUUGAUGCACAUCAUUUCCCCAAUUCAAAGUUCAAGUCACUGCUCAAUUGCAGAGUAGUUAGUAGACAUGCAUGCAUGUUUAAUUAAGUACUGCAUUGUAGUAUCGAAAAUCAUAAUAUCUCACCAAGCCCGGAAGCAUAGCUCUUUAUCUUGUAAACGUUGAAAUCUUAUGCAAACUAUGGGAAACAUGAUCUCACUCUCAGUGUCACUUGAUUCCAUUUUCUGUUCUUGCCUUGAUUUCGAUGUUGGGAAUGUGACGUCUGAGUCCAAGGUUGAAGAUAAUCUCGAUGCCUUGCGGACUGCAAUGGAAAAAUAAGCGGAAACGAGAAAUGAUGUGAUAAGAAGAGUUACUGUUGCUGAAGGACAACAUCAAAUGCAACGAAUGGAUCGAGUGCAGGGCUGGCUUUCAAGGGUAAAAGCUGUGGAAAAUAAAGCUGAUGAUUUGAUGAGACACAGCUCUCAAGAGAUUGAGAAGUUAUGCCUUGGAGGCUUCUGUUCCAAGAACUGCAAAUGAAGCCACAGCCGUGGGAUAGAAGCUGCUACAAUGCUACGAGUUGUGGAGACUUUAAUGGGUGAAGGAUCAUUUGAAUUGGUGGCUGAGAGGGUGCCAGAAGAUGCAGCAGACUGAGCAGAGGAGAUAAAUUGUGAGUCAACAAUAAUGGGCAUGGUGUCGACUUUUGAGAAAGCCUGGAGAUGCCUUGAAGAAGAAUCAGUUGGAAUUAUUGGCCUAUAUGUCAAUGGGAGAGUUGGAAAUAUUUACUCAAAUCAACAACAAGUUCCUUGAUAGUCCAAAUAAUUUUGAUGUUGCAAUCUGGGUAGUGGUCUGCCAAGAUUUGCAACCCCAGAAGUUUCGGGAAAAGAUUGGGAAAAAGAAAGGCUUGUUCGAUGAGUCAUGGAAGAACUGAAGUUUUGAAGAGAAAGCACUCGAUAUAUUCAAGAAUUUAAGCAAGAUGAAGUUUGUAUUACUGCUGGAUGAUAUAUGGGAGCAGGUUGAUUUAAUUAAAAUUGGUGUCCCUCUUCCAAGCACAAAAAUUACAUUCAAGAUAGUCUUCACAACUCCUUCUAUUACAUUUGUGGCCUCAUGGAAGCUCACAACAAGAUUAAAGUGAAGUGUUUAAAUGACGAAGAAGCAUGGGAAUUAUUCUGCAAGAAGGUUGGAGAAGAUGUGGCGACUCUGUACAAGUGCUAAGGAGCUCAGCCUCAGAAUUUCUAGGUAUGUAAAAACAAGUAUAUCCUCUUUUGAAAUUCAGUUAUGAUAAUUUACCUAGCGAUAAAAUUAGAUCGAGUCUGUUAUACUGUAGUUUGUUCCCAGAAGACUUUCCAAUUAGCAAAAUGGAAUUGAUACUGAGAUACGAAAUCAAGGAUACUACAUUAUUGGUGUUCUUGUUCCUUUAUGUUUAUUGGAAGAAGAGGCUCCACUGUUUGUAAAAGUGCAUGAGGUGAUACGCGAUAUGCUUCUGUGGAUAGCAUGUGAAAUUUUAUUUUUAUUUUUUUAUAGGGAUAUCAUGUGAAGUUGAGAAGGAGAGAGAGAAUUUUUUGGUUCGUGCAGGUGCAAGGAUUAACUGAAGUACUAGACAUUUGGAAAUGGGAAGGGUUGAGAAGGGUGUCUUUGAUGAUCAACAAAACUGAGAAGGUAUCAGAAAUUCCUUCAUCUCACGAUCCACUAACUUUGUUGCUUCAACAUAAUUAUUUAGAGGUGAUCAAUAAUGACUUCUUCCAAUCUAUGCAUUCCCUUAGAGUUUUGAACUUAUCAUGUAAUCAUUCUCUAACUGAUCAUUUCAAAGUUAGUUUCCCUACAUACGAGAGUUGCCGAAUGAGUUAACGUUCGUAGUGAAUCUUAAGUUUUUGAAUGUGGAGUCUGCACGGUUUCUUCAUUCAAUUCCAGGGCAAGUGAUAUCCAGUUUUACGAUGUUACAAGUUUUGAAGAUGUUUGGUUGUGGCAGGUCAUCUUCUGAUCGUGAGCCACACCAGAAGAUAGCGUUUUAUUUGGAGGCAGUGAACUUUUGAUUGCGGAGUUGUUUGGUUUGAGAGACAUUUAGAUGUGUUGACCAUCAUCCUAAGAAGCUCCCAUGCUCUGAAAAGAUUUUUGAGCUCCAACAAACUUCAAAGUUGUACUCAAUCUCUCUAUCCUAAAUGCUUUGAUUCGAAGUCAGUUGAUGUUUUUUGCCUGGCUGAUCUGAAGCAUCUCAAUAGGCUAUAGAUAUUGCGAGUUGUAAGCUUUUGGAAGAAGUGAAGAUUGACUUUGUUGGGAAAGCACAAAUGAACUCAUGGUUUUCACAGCCUUAUGUCACGGAAGUUGUGUAAACACUGCACGGGUUGCUGCGCAAAGUAACCAUCCUAUGACAUUGAGCCAUGUUGAAAUAUCAUUUUGCUGUAAACUGAGGGAUUUGACAUAGCUUGCUUUUGCUCCAGACCUUCUUGUUGUUUCCAGAAAGCAUUGCCAUGAUAUAGAGGAAAUACUCGGUGUUGGAAAAUUAGGUAAAGAGAUGAUGUCAAACCUGGAACCCCCUAUAAAACUCCUAAGGUUAUGUCUGGCAUGUAGGAUUGGAUUGAACUAAAUUAUUAGGACUGGAUUAAAUUGGGUUAUAUUUAUAUUCUUAUGUUUGGUACAGUACUGGAUUGAACUAUAUUAGAUUAUAUUUAAAUAAUAUUAAAUAGUAUUUAAGUUGGUAUUUUAAUAUAAAUAUCAAUUAUCCAUGAAAUUUUAUAAUCAUAAUUAAAAUAAAUUUAAAAAGCAAUUACUAGAAAAAUUAAAUAUAUUACAAAAAGUUAUUGGGUAGUCAUAAUAUAAUAAGCAAAUAAAAUUAAAUAAAACAAAUUAAAUAUUUAAUUAAUUUUUAUCAAAUAUUUAAAAAUAUUAUAUAAAAUCAAUUAAUUAAUGGUUUUAUUAAUUUUCAUGAUUAUUUUUAAUAUUACAUUAGUAAUUAUUAAAUUUAAUACAAUCAAAUAAUGCAAUAAAUAAUUAAACGUUUAAUUUUAUCGAUUAAUUAUUAAAUAUACAAGUAAUGAAAAUUUAAUCUCAGGAGUUGGCAGAAGCAAAAGUACUAAUUUAAUUAGAUCAUAGAUAAUAAAUAAAAAUUAAUUUUAAGUAAAUCAUAAUAAAAAAAUUAAUUAAUUGAUUCAAUCAAUCAAUAUUAGGUGUAAAUAAAAAAAGAGUAAUGAUAUAGCCACAAAUUCUUGUACAAACUUAUUUUGUACAAACUCAUGUGUCAUGAUAAGAUUAGUUGAAUUAAAUAUCACUUGGCCCACAUGAUUUGUUUUUAUUAUUUUAUAUUUUUAUUCAACCAAUGAAUUAACGCCACGUCAGUUUGUACAAGAGUUUGUGGUUGUAUCAUCACUCAUAAAAAAAAAGAUACAAAUAAAAAUCUCAUAAAUGGACAACUUUUAUCUUUAAUCUUAUCCCAACUAAACACAUGUGUGAAUUAAGAUUAUUAAUCCCAUGAUUUUAGGAUUAAAUUCAAAUUAAUUCCCCCUUAAUCCAAUCCAACUAAACUUGUCAAACAUGGGAUAAAAGUUUAAUUCUAAAAUUAGUCCAAUUCCAUACUUAAUCCUAGCAUCCACAUAUAGCCCAAGUUGUUUGCUUAAAGAAGCUACCAAAUUUGAAGAGCGUUUACGGGAAGGCCUUGCGUUUCCCAGAUGUAUGCAGAAUUUUUGUAUCCAAAUGCCCAGAACUUAAGAAGCUGACGCUGGAUUUUGAAAGGGCGGGCCAAGGUAAAAUUCUUAUCAAGUGAAAGGAAAAUCGGUGGAAACAACUUCAAUGGAAGGAUCAAGCAACUCAGGAUGCAUUGCUUCUGUUUUUCAAAUCAACUGACAAGUGAUUGAAGGGGGCAUCAUCAGCCUGGAUGGGGAGAUCCUGGAGCAGAUCAGCAGGGUUUGAAUCUGCAUCAUCAACAUCAUCAGGAUCUCUAUUUCUAUUGCUGGUCGUAAUGCCUGCCUACUGUUACUUGAAAAAGUGAUUAAGUGAGCCAGUUUUUUGUUUAUUAAAUUUUGUCUUGUAGAGACAGUCACAAAGUAUUUUUCUUAGUUGUUCUAUAUGAGAGUGAUGUGAAUCAAUUUUUCAAUUAUAUAUUCUGUGGGAAAUUGCAAGUAUUUUUAAAAUAUGAUCGUUAUUAAAGGAAACAAAGGAAUCAACACAGCAUACUGAACCUCAGCAGUAUGAAGCUAAUGAUUAAACUCCUCACACAAUUCAUAACAUGCAAAACCAUUCACAAAAUCAUCCCCAGCAACCAUAAUUGGCGUCCAAUAGAAAUUUACAAGAAUUACUUUUCUGUUCAUGCAAUCGGCGUCCGAAUGCGGCUGAUCGGUCACCGGUGUUGGCGUUUACUGUGAUUAGACAAAUUGUAGGAAUUCAAAAAUAACUUCUAUAGGGGUAAUUUCGAUUUCACAUAAUUAAUUUUAUUUACAAUAUUUUAUUCCUGCUAGAUCAAUUGAGAUUCUUUCCACCGGGCACACCCUUCAUGUUCUUUUAUUUUCUGUCUUUUAUUAGCCGUAGGAUUUUACUACUCUUAUAUCCAACGGCUUGCCACAACAAGACAAAUGAGGUGGUACCUUCCAACCGCUGAAAGGUCGUUUUGGCCCCAGGUGAAAGAGGGAAAUAGGGAAUUGAUGCUAUAUUUUAUAUUUUCUAUUUUACUACUCUUGUAUCCACCGGCCUUUCUUAUAUUUUAUUGCAAAUUGAUGCUAACAAGAAAAAGCUACAUCAUAUUCCACAAAAAACAAAAGUGACAAAACAACCAGUUGGAUUCUUUUAUUAAACUACAAAUUAAAUGGACUUUUUUUUAAUAAACUAUAUAUGAAAGUAGAAUCUUUUGAAUAUAAGUGGGGUAGACUUCCUUUCCAAAACAAAAAAUGCGGGGUAGGCUCUUUUAUUAAAGACAAGUCACAAGACGAUUAGAGUCUUUUAUUAAACUGCAAAUUGUAUAGUCUUUUUCAAAUUGUACAGACAUUUAUAAAUUGGUGGCCCCUUGGAAAUUUAAUGCCAAGCAGAGAAAAGUCAUCAUGCACAAUCCUCAAUAAUUGUUUCGAUAUUUAUAAAUUGGUGGCCCCAACGAAUAAUUGGGAUCGGUUAUGGUGCAAUUAUAGAACCAUGGCACAGUUGCAUCCAGCCGUUAAAUGCACUUAGAUUGGUGAGGUUUAUUGGCAUCUAAUGGCUGAAUGUAACUAUAAUACGGUACUACAGUUACAACACAAGUUUCCACCAAUAAUUGUUCCGAUAAUUAUAAAUUGGUGGCCCCUUGAUAAUUUAACAGCAGCCUGCAAGUGCCAACCAGUGAAAAGUCAUCAUUCACAAUCUUCCAAGUGAAAUAGGAGAUAUACAAAAUAAUAAAAAAAAAACAUGUCAAUUCUUUUUUUUUUUAUUCAUUCCCUUUCAUGUUCUUGAUAAGGGAGGGAGGACGUGACAUGUAAUGUAACUUACACCCAAAUACAUAAAUAAUAUAAAAUGAAUGGAUAGAUGCCCGAGCAGAUCGGCAGGGUUCGAAUAUGACCUUUGGUGCUUGCUUUUUUUUUUUGUGAUUUUGUUUUUCAUUUUUUCCUUCCUGUCAUUUUAUCAUUUCUUUGGCUUUGUCUCUAUUGCGGGUGUUACUGCAUGCUUACUGUUGCUUGACAAAGUUUGCUAGCUGAAAGAAACUUAGUUCUAUAUUGUUUGGUAGGCUAGAAAAUGAAAGGAAAUAAAAGAAAAGCUUUGCAAAGAAAUCUGUUGGAUCUUUUAUUAUUCCAAACUUACAGUUUAAUGACUACUAAUUGAUAUUUAUAUUGAGCUACAAUCUCUUAACAUACACACGAGAUUGUUGCAACACAUAACCAUUUGCUGUAUAACUAACUUGACACAUCAGCUCAACCAGCUAACUAACUUUGACAGGUCAGCUUAAUGAUUUGAUCUGCUACAACCAGCUACACAACACAUCAUGCUCUGCUCCAGCUACACAGCAACAUCAUGCUCUGCUCCAGCUUCAUCUAAUUCACUAACAUCCCCCUUCAAGCUGAAAUGUUUAGGAUGAACAUUCAGCUUGCUGCGGAAGUAACUAAAUUGUUUGAAAGUAAGAGCUUUAGUCAACACAUCUGCAGUUUGAUCUUGACUAGGCACAUAACAGACUGCAACUUCUUUAGCAGUAACUUUAUCUCGGAUGAAAUGGAUAUCCAAUUCAACAUGCUUAGUUUUAGCAUGAUAGACUGGAUUAUAAGCUAAAGCAAUGGCUCCUUGAUUAUCACACCACAUCAUAGGAGUAGAGCUCAAUUUGAUGCUAAGUUCACCAAGUAAAGACUUGAUCCAGGUAACCUCUGAAGCAGCAUGAGCAAGAGAUCUAUACUCAGCCUCUGUGCUGAAUCUGGAAACAACAGCUUGCUUCUUGGACGACCAAGAGACAAGAUUAGGACCUAGAUAAACAGCAAAGCCAGCUACUGACUUCCUAUCAUCAUGAUCACAAGCCCAAUCAGAGUCUGAAAAACAAUGGAGUUGCAGAGCUCCUUGGUUGUAGAAUUGCAGCCUAAGAUGGAUAGUACCUUUUAAGUACCUCAAUAACCUUUUACAUGCUUCCCAAUGUUGAGUCCUAGGAUUGGAAAGGAACUGACUCAACUUAUUGACAUAAAAAGCAAUGUCAGGUCUGGUAAGAGUAACAUACUGAAGAGCUCCUAUAACACUUCUGUAUUGAGAAACAUUGUCAAUUGGCUCCCAUGAGUCUUUGGUGAGAUAAUAACCUGUAGACAUUGGAGUUGGCACAGGACUGCAAUCAAUCAUGCCAUGUUUGUCCAGAACAUCAGCAAUAUACUUUGCUUGUGUCAAGGAAACCCCUUUUGAAGACUUGCUGACUUCAAUCCCCAAAAAAUAGUGAAGUUCCCCUAAAUCCUUUAAAGCAAAAGUCUGAUGCAUAUUCUGAAUAGCUUGCUGAAUCAAUGAUGGACUGGAACCAGUGAUGAUAAUAUCAUCAACAUAGACUAAAACAAUAGUUAUAUGACCACUGUUCCAGGCAUAAAAAAGAGAGUUAUCAGACCUUGAAUGCUGAAAAUGCCACUGGGAGAUCAUUGCAUCCUUAAAUCUAUCAAACCAGGCUCUAGGAGCCUGUUUUAAACCAUACAAAGCCUUAUUCAGCUUGCAAACAUGAUUAAGUUUAGUUGAAUCAACAAAACCUUGAGGUUGAGCCAUGUACACAUCUUCAAUUAAAAUGCCAUUGAGGAAUGCAUUAUUAACAUCCACCUGCCUAAUAACCCAGUGGUUCAAUAUUGCUAAGCUAAGAAUAACUCUGAUAGUUGAAGAUUUAACCACUGGACUGAAGGUUUCUGUGUAGUCAACCCCAUGUGUCUAAUGAAACCCCUUAGCAACAAGCCUGGCUUUAUACCUUGAAACCGAGCCAUCUGAGUUAUACUUAAUUCGAAACACCCACUUGUUACCAACUAUCUUCACUGGAGUAGCAGGUAAAACCAAAUCCCAGGUGUGAUUAGUUUUAAGUGCUAGAUACUCUUCUUGCAUAGCUUUAUACCACAUAGGAUCAGAGAGUGCUUUGGAAACAGAAGUUGGUUCUGAUUGCUGGGCUAACAAGGCUGACAAAUAAACUUUUGGCUUAAAAAUACCUGCUUUUGAUCUGGUUACCAUUGGAUGACCAGAUGGUGCAUGUUGUGGUAAUGUAUGUGGAGGUGAGGAAUGGGAAGAUGAGAAAGGAGAAACUGAGUUGGAAUUAUCAGAAAAAUAAACUGGAGUAGAGUUUGGGAAUGAAAUAGAAGCAUUAGACUGAUGAUCAGUAGGUUGAGGUGCUGAUGAUGCUGCUAAAGGUGCUUGUAACUGAGUAACAGAAGAAGUAGAAGACUUAAAAGAAGACUCAGAGUGUGAUGUAGACUGACAGCUUAAAGAGGUUGAAGAAAACUCUACCCCAGACUCAUAAGGAAAGGAAUUUUCAUCAAAGGUGACAUAAUUGGAAAUAUACACCCUUCCAGAAGAGUGAAGACACAUAUAUCCCUUGUGUUGUGAACUGUAGCCAAUGAAUAUACAUCUAGCAGUUCUGAAAUCAAACUUAUAUCUAUUGUAUGGUCUGAGUGUUGGAUAACAAGCACAGCCGAAAGUUUUAAGUGUUGAAUAAUCUGGUUGAUAAUGAAACAACUUUUGGAAAGGAGAAAUGUUAUUUAGAACUGGAGUUGGAAGUCUGUUUAUCAAAUAGACAGCUGUGUGGAAUGCAUUCCACCAAAAUUUGAGUGGUAAAUGUGCUUGAGCUAAUAAAGUCAGACCUACAUCAACUAUGUGUCUAUGCUUCCUCUCAAUUCUUCCAUUUUGGUGAUGAAUAUGUGGGCAAGGGUGUCUAAAAUGGAUACCAGAAGUAGUGAGUAAUGAGGAAAAAGAUCUGAACUCCCCUCCCCAGUCAGUUUGGACAGUUUUGAUGGAAAGUUGAAGAUGCUUUUCAAUGAAUGUUUUGAAAUUUUUAAAAACUUCAAGAGCAUCAGAUUUUGCUGAUAAAGGGAAUAUCCAGGUAAACCUACUAUAAUCAUCUAGGAUUCACAGGUAGUAGUUAUAUCCUUGGGUAGAACAAACAUGAGAAGGACCCCACAGAUCUGCAUAUAUUAGUUGUAAAGGUUCUGAAGUUUUUGUUUCAACUGAAUCAAAAUGCAGCAUAUGAUUUUUCCCAUAUUGACAUGCAUAACAAAAUUUCAAACUUUCAACUUUAUUAAGAGCAGUAAAGUUGUUACAAGCUUUGAGUAUGGUUUUGAGAGUAUAAGGAGCUGGGUGUCCUAAUCUUCUAUGUAGAAGAUUUACAUAAGUUAAACCCUUUGCAACAACUGACAGACAUGACUUUUUAUUCAGCUCAUAAGAACUAACAGCAGAAGGCUUAUCAGAAGUAAAAACAGGAGAACAAGCAAAAAGAGACUGAAUUUUUUUUUUACCAACUGAACUGAGAAAAACUGAGUGAGCAGCAGCUUGUGAAGAGACUCUAUACAAGCCACCUUUAGCAACACCUUCAUGUAAAAUUUUCCCUGUGUUCCUGGCCUUUAUAAAACAGAAAUCACCAAGAAAUUCAACAGUAACUGGAUUGUCAGCCAAUAAUUUGGAAAUGCUAAGUAAAUUCUUAGUAAUAAAGGGAAUAUGAAGAACAUGGUUAAGAAAUAAAGAUUGAGAAUUUGAAGUGUUCAGCACAACUGAUCCUAUAUGUGUAACAGCUAAUGCAUUUCCAUCCCCAACAAAUAACUUCUCAGUACCAGUAUAAGCUUGUGAAUCUAGAAGUUUACCUAGAUCAUUAGUAAUGUGAUUUGUGGCUCCACUGUCAAUGUACCAGGAAAGAUCUUCAAUGUGUUCUGGAAGUGAAGAAGACAUAGUUGAGGAAGAUGAAGCACUUGACUGUCCAGGAUUAUUGUUUCCUUGACCAGCAACAAAAUUAGAUGAUCCAGGAGUGAAAGAGUAAUAGGCAGAAGGAUUGUUAUCUGGAUACACUAUAUUUCCUUGAUAACCAAAACCCCUGGGUGCAUGACCAAAACUAGCAUUUUGUCCAAAACCAGCAUUUGAACCAAAACUUCUUCCACUAUUACCAUUAUAGACUCUUCCUCUACCAUAUUGCCCUUGAUUAAAACCUCUGUCACCAUUCAUAUUGCCUCUACCAUGAUUCCUCUGUGGAACAUAAGAUGAGUUGUACCUAUUCCUGCAUCUAUUUGCUGCAUGACCAGGUAUGAAGCAAAUUUGACAAACAACUUCAGAGGAAUUACUACCAGUAUUAAACUGACCAUAUCCAUAUCCAUUAAAACCUCCAUAUCCAGAAUUAUUACCACCUCCAUAGUUAUUUCCAUAAUUUUUCUGAAAAUUUCCAUUAUUCUUUCUAGCAUAUGAGUUCUUCUGAGCAAUAUUUGCUGUCAUGUUAUGCAUCACAUCACCAGCAAUUUUCCCUUUCUUUUGCUCAACUCUAUUUUCAUGAUUCAACAACAAAGAAUAUAGUUCAUCUAAUGUGAUCUUUUCACCUCGAGCUAACACAGCUGUGACUAAAGACUCAUAGUCUGAUGAAUCAAGACCAGUUAAUAUAUGCAUCACAAGAUCAUUUAACUCAAUAGGUUUUCCAGCUAGAGCUAAAGUAUCAGCUAUGCGUUUUACUUUUACAAAAUAAUCAGACAUAUGCAUUGCACCUUUCUUAAUAGUUUGAAUCUGCAUUCUAAGUGUUUGAAUUCUAGCUUGUGAUUGAGAGAUAAACAUACUAGCAAGAGUCUCCCAAAGCUGUUUUGAAGUUGUAGAAUCAAUCACAGUAGCAAGCAGAUUUUGCUGUAUCGAUGACAUCAUCCAACUCAGUAAGAGUUGGUCAGUCUUCAUCCAAGCUACGAAUUCUGGAUUAAUAGAUCUGGAUCCAGAUUCAGUUAAAACUUCAGCUCCAUUGUUGUUUCCAGAAGAAAGAAACUGCUCAGGACAUUCUCGAUCGCCAUUGAUAAAUCCUUCCAAACCGUUUCCUUUGAUUGAAGUUAAAAUUUGUGUGCGCAACAGAAUGAAGUUGUUUUGAUCUAGCUUUACUGGCGUAACAAAACUGAAAGAGUUGUUGUUUUGAACUAUAUUUGCCAUUUAUGGCUCUGAUACCAUGAAAGAAACUUAGUUCUAUAUUGUUUGGUAGGCUAGAAAAUGAAAGGAAAUAAAAGAAAAGCUUUGCAAAGAAAUCUGUUAGAUCUUUUAUUAUUCCAAACUUACAGUUUAAUGACUACUAAUUGAUAUUUAUAUUGAGCUACAAUCUCUUAACAUACACACGAGAUUGUUGUAACACAACCAUUGCUGUAUAACUAACUUGACACAUCAGCUCAACCAGCUAACUAACUUUGACAGGCCAGCUUAAUGAUUUGAUCUGCUACAACCAGCUACACAGCACAUCAUGCUCUGCUCCAGCUACACAGCAACAACAUGCUCUGCUCCAGCUUCAUCUAAUUCACUAACACUAGCUUUUCCUUUUGUUUAUUAAAUUUUUUUAUGGUCACAAAGUAUUACUCGUUCUAUUUGACAAUGAUGUGAAUCAAUUUUUCAAUUUUAUAUUUUGUGGUCAACGUGAAUUCAAUUUCAUUUGUCUCCUGCAAUUAUGAAAAAAUUACAGUCAUAAUAUGGGGAAACCUGUGGUGCAACUGUGGUACCAUGUCACAGUUGCAUCCAGCCGUUGGAUGCCAAUAGAUCCCACCAAUUUAAGUGCAUCCAACAGCUGGAUAUAACUAUAGCACGGUACCACAAUUACACCGUAACUUGAUCCCAUAAUAUGGAAAAGUACACCGGCAGAAACUUUGUAAAAGCUUCGGAGUGAUACGGGGAAUUCACUUACUACUAAAGACAGUUGGUGGCAACCUAAUGUCCAUCCAUCUAUUUAGUUAUUGAAGAUUAGUGGUCCAUUUGUAAAUUUCAGAUUGUCUCUCUCUCUCUCCCUCUUGAAAUAACAAUAUUUAAUAUAUCUAUUAAAUUAUUAUAAAUUUUAAUUUACUCUCGAUUUAAAAUGGAGCAUGUCGAUAAAUUUUUUUUCUUCUUAAUAAAAUUGACGUAAGUUGUGUUUACAGUAGUUUGAAGUUUGAAAUAUUUUAAAGAUUAUUAUUCUAUAAGGGAGUAAUAUGAACUGAAAUUUACUUUUCAUGUGUGAAAUGAAAAACGACGAAGCAAGUGUCCCUGCUUUUAUUUUAUUUCAAGGAGGAGUCAUCUCACAUACUUUAGCUCUUAACAUUACAUUUUUUCUGGUUACAUUUUUAUUUUUUAUUUUUUUUAACACAUGCGUGUGGGAUGCUUUUCUGUAAGCUCCUUAAUAUAUAUUUAAGACAAAUCAUGGAAGAGAUGGGAUUAUAUCAAGAUGAUCAAAGCAUGUAAAAAAAGAAAAAAGAAAAAAAAAUUAAGAAGUAAGACACUGAAAAUGGAGAAGAGAUGGAAGCAAAAGAUAUUCCAAACAAAGCAAUCUAUCCCCUUUCGAGGGCAGACUUAUCAGGUUUAAAAAAGUACAUGCUUUGGAUUGGUAGUUACAAUCAAGGGAAAAUAAAUAGGAUCCAAUGAAAUUUAAAUCUUGGAGAAAAUAAAUAAUCAUGCAGAUUUUCAAGAUUUUAAUAAGGGAUACUAAUAUCUUAUUUUGAUUAAUAACAUUCUUUCACUGUGUUAACUCAAAAAAAAUAUUAUAAUGCUUUACAAUAAAUACAAAUGUCCUAUUAAAUGAAUAUAUAAAAAAUUUAGAAUAUUAUAUAAAAUAAUUUUAAUAUAAUGCGUGAGAUAUAUUUUAUUAAUUUAAAAUGUCAUUUUACCUAAAAAAUAUGAUAAAUUGAUAAUUACAUAUUUGAAGUUAUUUCAAAUAUUAAAAAAAUUUAAUAUUAUUAGUCUUUUAGAUAGAUUAAAUUAUUUUUUAAAGAGAUAGAUUAAAUUAUUUUAAAAUACCUUAAUUGUUUUUACUUUAAACAUUACCGGCCUUUCUUUUAUUUUAUUGCAAAUUAAUGCUAACAAGAAAAAGCUAGAUCAUAUUCCACAAAAGCAAAAGUGACAAACACAGCCAGCUGGAAUCUUUUAUAAAACUACAAAUUAAAAUGGAUUUUUUUUUUUGAUAAAUUACACAUGAAAGUGGAUUCUUUUGAAUAUAAGUGGGGUAGGCUCUUUUAUUUUAUUUUUGAAUAUUGUAUAACGGGACUGUAGACUCUUUUAUUAAACUACAAAUUGUAUAGUCUUUUUAAAAUUGUUAUAAAUUAGUGGCCCCUAAAAUCCUCAACAAUUGUACCGAUAUUCACAAGUUGGUGGCCCCUACAAUUCUGUUCAGUUAAUUUAACUGUGCAAGUGCUCAUUCACAAUCUUCCAGGUCAUGCUCUUAAUAAUUUUUUUUUUUUUUUCUGCAUUCCCUUUCAUGCUCUUAAUAAUUGAAGAGCAUACUUUUCAUUUUCAAAUGUGGAGCCGCAGCUAAUGUCGUUAAUUUAAUUUGGGAUUAAAUUAGGGGACCAUUAUAUUGCAGUGUGCACUAAUUUUUGUGUUUAUCUAAACUCCUUAAAUUUAAGACAUAUUAUGGCAUAAAUAAGAAUAUAACAAUAACAAAAGAGUUAGAAAGUGUAGAGAAGAUCUUGCAGAAAUAUAAAUAAUAUCUAUUUUAAAAUAAUUUUUAAUAUUUUAUGAUCCAUUAGAUAUAUUUUAUUAUAUUAAAGUAAAUUUUAUAAUAAAUGAAAACAUACUAUUAAAAUGAAUAUAUAGAAAAUUUAGAGUAUUUUAAAUAUUAUAUAAAAUAAUUUUAAUAAAAUAUGUGAGAUAUUCAUAUUUUAUUAAUUUAAAAUACCAUUUAACCUAAAGAUUUAUUUAUGAUAAAUUAAUAAUUAUAUUUUUGAAAUUACUUCAAAUAUUAAAAAAAUUAAUAUUACUAAUCUAUUAGAUAGAUUAAAUUAUAUAUAUUAUUUUCUAUUUAUUAAAAAAUUAAAAUUAUUUUUAAUUACUAUUCAAAAAAUAUAAUGAUAAAAAAAAAUCUUAACAUCUUUAUUAAAAAUUUAAAAUUUACAUGAUCAAUUCUCUAAAUAUUUAGGGUAUAUGUGAACAUCGGUGGAGAAGCUUUAUUUAAUAUUAUUGAUUUAAAUAAUAUGUCAAUUAAAAAUGUGCGGAGAAGAAAUUUCGGUGGGUAUUUUAGUCUUUUCAGCAAUUAUCAUGAUCAGAUCAGCCUUUAGCCUUGAAACGUCGGUCAGAAAGUUUUAAAAUUAACGCUAACAAGAAAAAGCUAGGUCAUAUUCCACAAAAGCAAAAGUGACAAAACAACCAGUUGGUUUCUUUUACUAAACUACAAAUUAAAAGUGGAUUCUUUUGAAUACAAGUGGGACAGACGAUUAGGCUCUUUUUAUUAAAGGCAAGUAAAAAGUAGUCGAAUAGUCUUUUUCAAAUUCUUGUUUUAAUAUUUUUCAAAACUAGUUUUUGGUAAUUACAAUCGGGUCAUUCAUUAAUCAUUAUUCAGAGUAAUUAUGAAUUUCCCAAUUAUAAUUACUAACUGUUUUUCCUUAACCACUCGGCUCAGCCCGAGUGGCCAGGGCUGCUGCCCUCCAAGUUCGAACCCCCACAAAAGUAUUGUGGGGGUAUUUUCUUUCUCAAUUAAUUUGAGUGAAGGUAGUCUUUUCCUUUAUCCAUGAGUGAGGAGUAGACAUCCCUCGAAUAUUUGUGAGGGUUAAAAUCUGAGUAGAGCUCUAUUAGCAUUGAUGUAAGUUGAUCCCAGUAAUUGUCUGAUCUGUAAAUAUCAGGUUAAAAUCUGGGCAAAGCUCCAUUAGCAUUGAUGUAAGUUGAUCCCAGUAAUUGUCUGAUCUAUAAAUAUCAGUUAUAGUCUCAUGUAAUAUGAGUUGUAAUCUGAGCAAUAGUCUCGUGUAAUAAAAAAAAAAAAAAACUAUUUUUCCUUCAAAAGUUAGAGACUCGUGUUUGCAACUUGCAAGUGUGAAUGUGCAAUGCUCUUUGUCUAAAGGCUAGUGUUUCUAGUGGGUCCCGACUCGAGCGUGCCUAAAUCAUUUUAAAAUUUUUCCCGUAUAAUGGACAGAGGUCAUUACUAAAAUUUCUCUUCCACAGGCAAUUACAGCAGCUCCAGUUUAUCAAACUCAACCAAUUUUCUUUCUUAACAAAAUUCCAAAGAUGUGUAGCUUUUUUCAGAUCACAUGCGAUGGUGCUCUUUUCAAUCGUUGCUUGGAUUGCUUUCUUGGAAAAGCAGCAUACAUACGUAACCUCCAAGAUAAUCUUGAUGCCUUGGAGACUGAAUUGGGAAAUCUGAUCGCUAAAAAGAACGAUGUGAUGAGGAGGGUUGUCGAUGCUGAACGGCAACAAAUGAGAAGGCUGGACGGAGUGCAAGUGUGGGUUUCGAGGGUGGAUGCUUUUAAAACUGGAGCCGAUGAACUUAUCAUAGACGGCUCUGAAGAAAUUGGCAAAUUAUGUGUUGGAGGCUACUGUUCCAAGAACUGCAGGUCAAGCUACAAAUUCGGAAAACAAGUGGCUAGAAAGCUACGAGAUGUGGAGACUUUAAUCGCCGAGGGAGUUUUUGAGGCGGUGGCUACUGAGGUGGUGCCUGAGAGAGCUCCAGAGCCUGUAGCAGAUAAAAGACCCAUUGAGCCAACAAUAGUAGGCUUGCAAUCACAGCUUGAACAAGUUUGGAGAUGUCUUGUAGAAGAAUCAGUGGGAAUCAUUGGCCUAUAUGGUAUGGGCGGUGUUGGUAAAACCACACUAUUGACCCAUAUCAACAAUAAAUUUCUUGAGAGUCCCACAAACUUUGAUUGUGUGAUUUGGGUCCUAGUUUCAAAAGACCUGCGACUUGAAAAAAUUCAAGAAGAUAUUGGGAAGAAGAUAGGUUUGGUUGAUGAUUCAUGGAAGAAUAAAAGUUUUGAAGAGAAAGCUGUGGACAUCCUGCGGAGAUUAGGAGAGAAGAGAUUUGUAUUGUUGUUAGAUGAUUUAUGGGAGCGGGUUGAUUUAACAGAAGUGGGCGUUCCACUUCCCAGCGCACAAAAUACUACCUCAAAAGUCGUAUUCACAACCCGUUCCAUUGGUGUUUGUGGCAGCAUGAGAGCUAGGCCGGUUAAAGUGGCAUGCCUAUCAGAAAAGCAAGCUUGGGAACUGUUCCGCGAAAAUGUUGGGGAAGAAACUCUUGAGAGUGAUCAUGAGAUCGUUGAGCUAGCCCAAACUGUAGCCAAAGAGUGUGGUGGUUUGCCACUCGCACUUAUUACUAUUGGUCGAGCUAUGGCCAACAGAAAUACAGCUGAGGAGUGGAGACAUGCAAUUGAAGUAUUAAAAAGGUCAGCUUCGGAGUUUGCGGGUUUGGAAAAAGAUGUAUAUCCUCUUUUAAAGUUUAGUUAUGAUAGUUUGCAGAAUGAGACGAUUAGAACUUGUUUCUUAUAUUGCUGUUUGUAUGCGGAAGAUUAUGUCAUUCCUAAAUGGGACUUGAUUGAUUGUUGGAUUGGUGAGGGAUUCUUAGAGGAAUCUCACGGUUUUGGUGCAGAAAACCAAGGAUACUACAUUGUGGGCACUCUUGUUCGUGCAUGUUUAUUAGAAGAGGUGGAAGAUGAUGAAGUAAAAAUGCAUGACGUUAUUCGUGAUAUGGCUAUAUGGAUAACCUGUGAAAUUGAGAAGGAGAAGAGAAACUUUUUGGUUCGUGCAGGUGCUGGAUUAAAAGAGGCACCGGAUGUUAAAAGAUGGGAAAAUGUGAGAAGAUUGUCAUUGAUGCAAAACCAAAUUGAAACUCUGUCAGAGGUUCCCACAUGCCCUCAUCUCCAUACUCUAUUUCUUGCCUCUAAUAAUAGUUUGCAGAGGAUCACCGAUGGCUUCUUCCAACUUAUGCCUUCUCUCAAAGUUUUGAAGAUGUCAAACUGCUGGAAUUUUACUUUGAAAUUACCUUUGGCGAUGUCAGAGUUGGGUUCGUCACUAGAACUUCUUGAUAUUUCAUAUGCCAGCAUAACAGAGUUACCAGAAGAGUUAAAGUUGUUGGUAAAUCUGAAAUGUUUGAAUUUGAGGUGGACAGAUACGUUAAAUAAAAUUCCACGGCAACUAAUAUCAAUUCUUUCAUGGUUACGUGUGUUGAGAAUGUUGGGUACUGGCUGGUUCAAUUUUCUUGAAGCACCAGAAGACAGCGUUUUAUUUGGUGGGGGUGAAGUUUUGAUACAGGAAUUGCUCGGUUUGAAAUAUUUAGAGGUAUUGGAGUUGACCUUGGGAAGUUAUCAUGCUCUCCAAAUUCUUUUGAGCUCAAAUAAGUUAAAAAGUUGUAUUCGAUCUCUUUACCUCCAUUUGACCGGAGAUACAGCGUCAAUUAUUGAUGCUACGGUUUUCGCAGAUCUAAACCAACUCAAUCAAUUAUGGAUUGAUGAAGGUAUUGAGUUGGAAGAAUUGAAGAUUGAUUAUACGGAGAUAGUACGAAAAAGGCGGGAACCUUUUGUUUUCCGCAGCCUUCACUGUGUUCGUAUAGAGCAGUGCCAUAAAUUGAAAGAUGUGACAUUCCUCAUUUUUGCUCCAAACCUCAAGUCUCUUGACCUAUCCUACUGCUCUUCUAUGGAAGAAGUAAUCAGCGUCGGAAAAUUUGCUGAGACUCCUGAGAUGAUGGGACAUAUAAGCCCUUUUGAAAAUCUCCAAAGUCUUCAUUUAUCGCAAUUGCCAGCUUUGAAGAGCAUCUACUGGAAGCCAUUGCCUUUCACUCAUCUCAAAGAAAUAUCUGUGGGUUAUUGCCGUAAUCUUAAAAAGCUUCCACUCGAUUCCAACAGUGCAAAGGAGCGUAAAUUUGUAAUUCGUGGAGAAGAAGACUGGUGGAACCGACUUCAAUGGGAGGAUGAAGCCACUCAAAUUGCUUUUCGUUCCUGUUUCCAACCAAUGGGAGUACUGAGCGGUGGUCGCAAAAUUUGAUUUCUGGUGAGUGCGUUUGUCUUUUAAAAGCAGAAUUUAAAAGAAAUUUAUUCUUGUCGUUUUCUUCUCUGUUUUUAUUUGAUUUCUGGUUAGUUUCUCUCUCGCACUGCCAUUACUGUUUUAAUUUCCUGUCAAAAGACGAGCGAGAAGAACAUAUAUAUGACGUAAACCAAUUGAUAAAUAUUAAUUGCCUGUUCUCUGUUUUUAUUAAGUAUACUUUAUUUUGCCCUGUUCUCUGUUUUUAUUUCAUUCUCUCUCUCUCCCUCUCUUUCCUGUCUUCUGCAAGUCAUAAUUAAAUGUUGAAUUAUAUGGAAUUAAUGCUUUAUAAAUCUGCCUACGCUGGCUUUUUUUUUUUUUUUUGUGGGGUCGAAUUGAUGCUCUGGUUUUCGACUACUUUUUGUUGUCAAAAUUUUCUCUGUUUUUUCAAAUUGAUGCUUUAUUUAUAUCUUCUUCGUGAAAAGUGAUUUAAUUUCCUGCCAAAAGACGAACGAGAAGAACAUUAGAGUCUAACUAAUGCUCACAUAAAUUUCCCGUAAGAAUAUAUAUAUAAUUAGACUGGAAUGCACACCUCUAGAUUGAACAGAAUUAAAGCUGAGAAAAUAUUGAGUAUAGUAGCCCUCUUUACAGAAAAUGACGCGAAAGUUAAUUUAGAAAAAGAUAUAUUCUUGAUUAAUCCAUUUUCUGAAGUUUUUUAUUUUGUAUGGUCAAUUAUACCUUCAUACUAAAAAUUUCUGAAGUUAUGGGGUUGUUGGAUGUGUUUUGGAUAUUUGCAGCUAAGUUUGAGUUUAUAUCUCAACUUAAAAUUUGUAGUUUUCACUUGAAAAAAUUCAGUUAAAAAUUUAUUGGUAGAAUUGUGAAAAAAGUUAAAAUUUUUAGUUCAACCCGAUUGCAUAUUUAAGAACAUCUCAAAUGAAUUGCUUACUGCUAUCAUCAUCAUUAUUGUCCAUAUAAUAAUGGAUCUUUAUUAUAUAUAUAUAUGUUUCCACUAAAAUAUAUUUAAUUAUUCUUUAUUUUUCCAUUGUUGCGUGUAAGAUUUAUUUGAGUUCUAAGUUAUAUCAAUACAAAUGUUAUCUUAUCCAUAAAAAAGUUAGAUCCAACAAUUAUGAAAAUUACCAUAGAGUUGCUUUCAAUUAUUUUUUAAAAAUACCAGGAGUAAAUAAUAAUUAGUUCAAGUGGUGUAGACUAAAAAGUGUUCACCUUUAUUUUUUAUCUGUUAUUUAUUUAUUUCAUUAAUGCACAUGCUAUACAUUUGAGACACUCCAUCCUAUGCAAUGUGAAUAAAUUUCUUUCCUUUUUCCUUUACUCUUUUUAUUUGACAAUAAAGUUUCCAUCUAUCAUCUAUCAUCUAUCAUCUAUGUACGCAAAAUUUCUGCAACAAGUACAAAACAUAAAAAUAUAUAUGAUUGUUAAGGGAAACACGCAGAAGUUCAUCAUUUCAAUGUUCAGUAUUACCAAUUUUGGCAUUAAGCUUGUACGAAUAUAUUCCACUUAGAAAGCAAAAUAUUAGACUCAUGAUUUUAAUUCAUUCAUUAUCUCUCAUUUUAAUCCCAAAAUAUUCAAGAGUAUCCAAGUUACCAUAAGACUUCAGAGGCUCGAGCCUUAGCCAGAGAUGGUUAAUUGAUAGACUAUGUGCCUGGGUCGAGCACUGGAAGCCUGCAAUGCAGACUGAUUGAUUUAUCAGUUUGACGUGUGCCAGGAAUGAAGAACUGGAAUAUCACCGUCAAGCACGCACCCUGUGGAGCAAUACCAAAGAAUGCACAAUCUGGCUUUGCUAGGUGACACUGGAGGCUUUUUGAAAAGUGCUUCACGCUCACUUGCACAGAUUGAGCAUCCCCUCCGGAUAUUGCCCUCUCUGAUCGAGUCCGAGCACUCAAAUUUCAAUCCUCAGAUGGAGCUACAGCUUUCUCUCCAAUAACCAACAAUUUUCUAAACUCAGCUCCUAGUGUGAUGAGAGUUGUUGAUAUUUGUAAAUGGAGAUCCCCAUAUUUGCAAAUGGAGACAUUUAACAAAUCACCAACAUGCUUCAUUCGGUCUACGAAAUUCUGCAGCUGAUUCAAAUCCGGAACCUGAACCAGAGUCGGAGGUAAAUCUUGAGCCAUAUCUAAAGCAGUCUGAAGUUCAAGUACUUGAGCCCUUGACAAUGGUUUUGAAAUAGGAACAUCUUGGAUUACUGCAGACUUGUACCCCUUGGUUUCAAAGGUAAGGAAAGGCAUUGCUUGAGUACAAUUUGGAGGCAGCUUCUUCACCAAUUUUAUUUGGAGGCGAUUGGCAGCGGAUCCAGCUGCACCAAUUUCAGAGCAAAUACUGACACUACUUCGAACAGCACACUGAAGAAGUGAUAUGUCUACGGCAAAGGCAAUGCAGUCCUCAUUUUGGCUUGAGAUGCAGUAAUCAUCGAAGAGAGUUUCCUUGUGAAACUGGGCAACACAUUGAAUCCCUUCGCCACUGAGAAGGUUGUGGAGGAAGUAAGCUUUCUCUCUAGUGAGGAAGAGGUGGCAUACCUUCCCCAUUUUGUCUAGGGCAGGUAGGAAUCAUUUUUCUAAGAGAUUUACUUCAUUCUCUGUGAGAAAUGAAUUGAACUUCAUCCCUCUGUCUCUAUCCUCACUUAUCAGAAAAUAAGUUGAAAGCACUUCGGAGAGAGAGAGAGAGAGAAUUAAGAUAUAUAGACAAGAAAAAUAUUAGACGUUGAUCUUACAAACUAAUACUUCAAGCAGUAUCCUAGAAAGCUAAAAACUGCAAGAUGGCUUGAAAUUUGAAAAGAGCACGUGCUUUUCCUCCUUAACUUGAGAAAAUGUUUAAUAUAGUGCACCUACAGAAGCAUUUAAGCAAUUAGAACUUUGCACAAAAACAUCAAGAAGACUAAACAAAUCAGAUGCAGUGUAUUUGUCCAAGCACAAAUUGCAUUUUGUCCUCAACUUUAAUAUUUAUUGAUGAGAAUCAAUACAGGUCCCUCAUUUGAUAUAGAAAGCUUUCUUUCUUGUAGUCUCACCAGUUAAUUCACAGGUCUAUAAUCAUCUUGCAAAGUUAAGGGCAUUUCUUUCGAUCUAAAGUCUUUGCAUCACCACCUCAUCACACGCCAAGCCAAUAUUCCAUUUACCUCUACAACAAAAAGUUUUAAGUAAACAAUCCUAAUGCACGCAGCCAAAUAAAAUGCAGUAAGAAUAUUCAACUUAAAAAUCUGAAAGCCGACUUGGUGAAUUGCCUCCUUAGGUGAAGUUCCAUGCUUUACUAUAGUUGACAGAACUCAGCAAAAGCUUCCAUACAACAGAUUUUGAAAAUGAUGAUGCCAAUAGAUACUCAUUCAAUCCAUUGAAAAUCCAAAGGUUCAUUGUUAAUAGAAGUUUACAGAGUUUUGGUCAUCAAAUAGCUCAGACCUAAUCCCAAACAAAAAACGAGUGAAAAUUAGAUCACGAGCAGCUGAUUGUAAAUUCUAACUUAACUCUUCAUCUCCUUUGUAAACAAGAAACAAAAUGGAGACACGCAAAAUGAAUAUGGAGAAAAUUUGAACUCAAAUGAAAUGAGGGCACGAAAGCAAACAAAUGGCAUGCACAAAAAAACCAAGCCUCAAUCAAAAACUAAUUAACCAUUAAGAAAAAAAUUGGUCAGAUAAUGAACUACAAAUUCAGGAGUCAAGCAAGAAGCUUUCAUUAUUUCAGAAGCUCCUGUACAAAUUAAUAAGUUAUGCUCUUUGGAAGCAAACCUAAAUUCCAAGAGAAACAGAACCCAAAAAAUUUGCAAUUAUACGCAAAGGGAGUGAAGCACAGGAUUCUAUCACACAUAGGAAUUGUAUAACAAGAGAUCGAUAUAUCGAAUUAGAAAACUCAAUUCGAAUUUGUGUCAAAAAUCAAAAUUAGAAGAUUUCACAUUUCGAGAGGAACAAGCAACAGAUGAAGUUCAAAAUUUCAGCCAUAACAUGCUAAAAAUGCUACACUUAACGGUUCAUUUUCAUGGAUUUUCUCGGGAAACAAACAGAAAAUUACGGUUUAGAGAUUUGACUGACCUUUUGGCUUUUGAAAUUGAGAAGAUCGCACGCCAAAUUGGAAGAGGGAAAGUGAAAGUGCGAGUUUUAAUAUGGGUAUUAGAUAAGGAAAUUUUAUUAGGUUGCGAGGGUAAAAAAGGAAAGAGAUAUCAUUGUUUUAUUAUCGAUAAUUAUUAAAUUUUUUUCCAAAAAAAAAGAACAAGCAAGGAUAUUUUAUUGUCAUUUGCAACCUUUAAUUUUUUAAAUGCUAUUAGAAACACAAGACAAUAAAGAAAUACUUAUUUUUUUCUAAAACUAAAAUCAAUUGUUUAAAAAAAAUUGUUUCAAAAUUACUUGAGUCAUAUCCAAUGGACCAACAAAGUAAUCGUUUUUAUUUUUAUUGAUUUUUGCAGGAAAUUAAUAACUUAAAAAUACUGAAAGCUAUUGUAAAAAUUUUUAUUAUCAACCUCAUAGUUUUUUUUUUUUUUUUUGGGAAGAGAAUUCAAACUUUUUUUUUUAUGAAUAUCGCUGUUUCGUUUGAGUUGGAUGUGAAUUCAAAUACAAAUAUUCUUUGUUUUUCAAUUCUGAACUCAAUUUCUUUUUUUCAAGAAUGUUAUGCAGAAAUGAUUUUUACUGAACGGCAACAAAUGAAAAGGCUGGGCCAAGUGGAAUGGUGGGUUUCGAGGGUGGAUGCUGUUAAAAUUGAAGCUGAUGAACUUAUCAGAGACGGCUCUCAAGAAAUUGACAAAUUGUGUGUUGGAGGCUACUGUUCUAAGAACUGCACGUCAAGCUACAAGUUCGGGAAACAAGUGGCUAAAAAGCUACGAGAUGUGGAGACUUUAAUCGCUGAAGGAGUUUUUGAGGCGGUGGCUACCGAGGUGGUGCCUGAGAGAGCAGAGCCUGUAGCAGAUGAAAGACCUACCGAGCGAACAGUAGUAGGCUUGCAAUCACAACUUGAACAAGUCUGGAGAUGUCUUGCAGAAGAAUCAGAGGGAAUCAUUGGCCUAUAUGGUAUGGGCGGUGUUGGUAAAACUACAUUACUGACCCAUAUCAACAAUAAAUUUCUCGAGAGUCCAACCAACUUUGAUUGUGUGAUUUGGGUAGUAGUUUCAAAAGACCUGCGACUUGAAAAAAUUCAAGAAGAUAUUGGGAAAAAGAUAGGUUUGGUUGGUGAUUCAUGGAAGAGUAAAAGUGUAGAGGAGAAAGCUGUCGACAUCUUCCGGAGUUUAAGAGAGAAGAGAUUUGUAUUGUUGUUAGAUGAUAUAUGGGAGCGGGUUGAUUUAACAAAGGUGGGCGUUCCACUUCCCGGACCCCAAAAUACUACCUCAAAAGUCGUAUUCACAACCCGUUUCAUCGAUGUUUGUGGUAGCAUGGAAGCUGACAGGAAGUUCCAAGUGGCGUGCUUAUCAGAAAAGGAUGCUUGGGAACUGUUUCGAGAAAAAGUUGGGGAAGAAACUCUUCAGAGUCAUCAUGAUAUCGUUGAGCUAGCCCAAAUUGUGGCCAAAGAGUGUGGUGGUUUGCCACUCGCACUUAUUACUAUUGGUCGAGCUAUGGCCUGCAAAAGGACAGCCGAGGAGUGGAGACACGCAGUUGAAGUGCUAAGAAGAUCAGCUUUUGAGUUUGCAGGUUUGGGAAAAGAGGUAUAUCCUCUAUUAAAGUUUAGCUAUGAUAGUUUGCAGAAUGAGACGAUUAGAUCUUGUUUCUUAUAUUGUUGUUUAUAUCCCGAAGAUUAUGGAAUUCUUAAAUGGGACUUGAUUGAUUGUUGGAUUGGUGAGGGAUUCUUAGAGGAAUCUGACAGGUUUAGUGCAGAAAACCAAGGAUACUACAUUGUGGGCACUCUUGUUCAUGCAUGUUUAUUAGAAGAGUUAGAAGAUGAUAAAGUAAAAAUGCAUGACGUUAUUCGUGAUAUGGCUCUAUGGAUAACCAAUGAAAUUGAGAAGGAGAAGAGAAACUUUUUGGUUCGUGCAGGUGCUGGAUUAAAAGAGGCACCGGAUAUUAAAGGAUGGGAAAAUGUGAGAAGAUUGUCAUUGAUGCAAAACCAAAUUAAAACUCUGUCAGAGGUUCCUUCAUGCCCUCAUCUCCAUACUCUAUUUCUUGCCUCUAAUGAUAAUUUGAGGAUGAUCACAGAUGGCUUCUUUCAAUUUAUGCCUUCUCUCAAAGUUUUGAAGAUGUCAAACUGUGUGGAUUGGCCAGUUUCGAAAUUACCUUUGGCGAUGUCAAAGUUGGGUUCACUACAACUUCUUGAUAUUUCACAUACCGGCAUAGAAGAGUUACCAGAAGAGUUGAAGUUGUUGGUAAAUCUGAAAUGUUUGAAUUUGAGGUGGACAUUUGAGUUAAAUAAAAUUCCAUGGCAACUAAUAUCAAAAUUUUCAAGGUUACGUGUGUUGAGAAUGUUCGCUACUGGCUUUGCCCGUUUUGAUGAAGCAUCAGAAGACAGCGUUUUAUUUGGUGGGGGUGAAGUUUUAGUACAGGAAUUGGUCGGUCUGAAAUAUUUAGAGGUAUUGGAGUUGACCUUGGGAUGUCAUCAUGCUCUCCAAAUUUUUUUGAGAUCAAAUAAGUUAAAAAGUUGUAUUCGAUCUCUUCUCCUCCACUUGGCCGGAGAUACAACGUCGAUUAUCGAUGCUACGGCUUUCGCAGAUCUAAACCACCUCAAUGAAUUAUGGAUUGAUAGGGCUAAGGAGUUGGAAGAAUUGAAGAUUGAUUAUACAGAGAUAGUUCGAAAAAGGCGGGAACCUUUUGUUUUCCGCAGCCUUCACCGUGUUACUAUACAUAGCUGCCAGAAGUUGAAAGAUACGACAUUCCUCGUUUUUGCUCCAAACCUCAAGUCUCUCGAUCUAGACCGUUGCGAUGCUAUGGAAGAAAUAAUCAGCGUCGGAAAAUUUGCUGAGACUCCUGAGAUGAUGGGACAGAUAAGCCCUUUUGAAAAUCUCCAAAUGCUUGAUUUAGAAGAUUUGCCACAUUUGAAGAGCAUCUUCUGGAAGCCAUUGACUUU